rnacentral:rRNA from 1 species
UUCCUACAGGAGGCAGCAGUGAGGAAUAUUGGUCAAUGGGCGGGAGCCUGAACCAGCCAAGUCGCGUGAAGGAAGAAGGUACUUAGUAUUGUAAACUUCUUUUGUCGGGGAACAAAGGCGGAGACGCGUCUCCGGAUGAGUGUACCCGAAGAAAAAGCAUCGGCUAACUCCGUGCCAGCAGCCGCGGUAAUACGGAAGGUCCGGGCGUUAUCCGGAUUUAUUGGGUUUAAAGGGAGCGUAGGCCGGCUUUUAAGUCAGCUGUGAAAGUCCGCGGCUCAACCGUGGAAUUGCAGUUGAAACUGGAG